UGCAGGUAUAUUUGAAUGAGAAUUGGAUAUUUGGGCUUUCAUUGUUCGAAUAGGAAAUGCCUAUACAAAUACUUUUCAUGGAACAAAAACCGAUGGCUGGAGGACAAAUUAAUACACGAUUCAUUUGCAUAACGAAAAAUAAGUUGUUUUUUUCCUUAAAAUCUAUAGUCCCACCAUUCUAAACCAUCUAUUUUUCCGCCUGGUGGUUUCAGCUAAGCAUUCCUUCAUGGUUCAACAAGCAAAAUCUACCCUUUAUUCAAUGAGAGAACUAUUCAGACUUUUGAUUGGCUGCAACAUCUUGGAGCUUUUCUUUCAGUUCACCACUCUGGUGCAUGUUCAUAAUUAUAUCUGAUCCACCAAUAAACUCUCCCUCGAUAAAAAUCUGUGGAGAAAAUCUGGGGAAAUGUUGGCCAAUUGCUGAAGGAUUUUACAGCAAUUUUCAGCUCAGGAUCCUCCAAAAUAUCUCUCGCACUCAAGGGAAUAUUGUAUUGUUUCAGCACUCUUACUGCCAGGGCACU
rnacentral:misc_RNA from 1 species